UGCAGAUGAUAUGAAGUAAUAUGUGCUAUCCGAGCGCAGUAACAAUGUCGACACCACCAAGAUCACUGAUGCG